rnacentral:misc_RNA from 1 species
CCGAACUGCUUUCCCCACGUUCGAUCAGUCAUUGCUCCACGAGCUAUCGUUGGAUGCAAAAGAAUGGGUUCCUGUGCCGCAUACCUAAAGAAAUGGAAAUCCGACCCUUUGGUUGUCCGUUCCAUCCGUGCGUCCUAUCGGAUGCUCGGUUGGACUUGAGAUAGAGGGCUCGUGGUCCACGGCGAUCGCACGCGAUCGUCCCGAUGGAUCUCGAGYGCCUUCUUGUCCUCUCGGAUGCGGAAAGUCCCUCACGGGCGUUGGGUCAUCGGCCCUCGUUCCCGAACGCUGAAGCGUCUAUCGCUUCAUACCGGAAUGACGCUCUGGCCUUGCCCUUGAUCACGUGGAGCGCUCUCGGGCGACCACAAGGAUCAUGGCUCGGCGGACGUCGUGAAGGAAUGC